rnacentral:lncRNA from 12 species
CGGAACACCAAUCCACUCAGCUAAAAUAUAAUUGAAACAAGAUAUUCAGCAUUAAAUAAGCAAAACCCAAAAGACUCAAAAUAGGCUAUUUUGUUGUUAUUAUUAUUAUGGGGUUAAAUCACUCAAAAAUAGAUAUCUUCCUACUCCUCCUCCCACGUCUUUCUUUAGUUUGUCUCCUGUUGUUCUCUCAGGAUGCACUGAUGGCCCACAGGCUUGUGCGAAAAAAAAUGAACUCUGUUCUGUGAUGGGUCCAUGGGCGCCAAGUAGUCAUCUAGCUUAAUUCUUGGGAAAAAAGUUAUUGCUAGAAUUUUGUCUGUCCUGAGAUCCUUGCAGCAAACCCUCAGCCACCAGUGGGGCCAGGGAGCAUCCUUUAGAGAGCGAUCUCGCAUGGCAGAAUUGGAAUGAAAACACAGCUACACCUGAACCUGCACUGCAGAGUGAAGUGGAUUUAUUACGUGGUCAGCGGGUAUGGGGAAGCAGGUGGAUUUUUAAGCAGGUACACUUAUGGUAGGUGUUUGGCAGGAUAUAGAGAAAUAGCUGUCCAUAUGCUGGGGACUUUAUCCACAGAGGAUCCAAUCUAUUUGGUAAGACACCAGGCUUCCCUCAUGCCCUGCCCCUCGCACCUCUCCCGGAGCCGCUCAGCACUGCGGCUCCUGCCGGCAUCCGCAGUAAGCCGAGAGCCACUGCAGGCUCUCAGCUGCGCCUAUCGCAGAUGCCAUUUGCCAGCUUGGCACAGGCAGCUCUGCAGCUCCUCUGGAGGCACUCUGGGAUUCGCCUGAACCGAGGCUUUGGCUCGGCUGGGCGCUGGCGAUUCUCCCGCUCUCCACGCAGGAACAGCCGAUGGCGAUUAACGUUACACCCACCAGCAAGGCCCGGGCGGCACAGCACAAACCGCUUCGCUUUCCCGGAGCCUCCCGAGGGACCCUAUUUUCCCCCACUGUCCCGCAGGCAACGGGGCCGCAGCGCAGGGCACUGUGCCGGACUCGGCGGCCGUUCGCUGCCCGGGGAUGGCCGCUGCACCCCGCGCGCUGCCGCAUCCUGUAGCGCCAGCGAGGGGCAGGCAGCGCUGAGGCGGCCGCUCCGAUCCCGGCUCCCUCCGUCCCUCGGCGGGCAGCUCCCGCCAGAGAGCCGCUGGCCGGCGGCAGGACCUAUAUGCUCUCGCGGAAGGUUACUGUCGCCUGGCACGGCGGUACCCGACGGAAGCGGUGCUGAGGCAUCUGAGGCAGCACUUUGUCAAGCAGCGCCUGAUUGGCUAGCGGGACUCCGCAAUGGUUAUCUGGUAAGAGUCGAGGGCUCUGAUUGGUCGCGCGGCACCUGCAAUGCGUCAAGUGAGGAUGCUGGGGUGCGCGUGCCAGCGCGCUGCCGGGGGGCGGCCGCGGCCCCGCCCCCCCCCCCCCCCCCCCCCCCCCCCCCCCCCCCCCCCCCCCCCCCCCCCCCCCCCCCCCCCC